CCUCUUGGGCGGUUGGUUCCGCAGGAAGCUGUUGGGGUGUGGUUGGAGGUGCUGUGCCUCCCGCCAGCACCCCACUCCUCCUCCUGGGGACACGGGCACACAUGGGGGUGAGGGGUGGACAGGGAUGCCCUGUUCUCGGACCCCGUCUUCUAUGCUCUCCUCAGACCCCUGCUUGUGCACAGCUGGCCCGGAGAGGCGGUUGAGGAAGAGGAAGUAGGGGCAGAGCUGGGUCACGCUGUGGUCACACCACGCUGUGGCAGCCGGUGCUGCCUUGGGCUGCCCAGGAACCCUGGCCAAGGGUCAUGGGGGCCACAGGAGCUGGCGGCCAGGCUGGGCACCCAGGCCACCGCGGGCCUGGCGCCAUGUGGUUCGGAGUCCAAGUCAUGUGCCCAGCCCUUCGAUUCUGGAGUUACAGCCUUGGCCACCAAGAGUAGCUGUGGACCCUGGAGACCUGAGGAUCCAGGUUUCUUCUCCACCAUGCAGGACCAGCAGGAAGAUGAUUUUGCAGAGCAGCUCAGUGAGAGCACGGAGGACCUCAGCCUGGAUUUAGGGGCCCUGCAGGGCAGCGAGUAUCUCCAGGACCUCGGCCUAGCAGCCCCUUCCCCCAGCCCGGCCGGUGGGGCCUCCGGCAGCAGCCCCUUGAAGACAGAAGCUGAGAGGGACUCGCCCUUCUCGAGCUCCGCAGGGGCCCAGACUCUGGUUCGGAGACGCAGCUGGGAGAGGUCACGGAGCUGCUCAGAGGACUGGCAGAGGCUCAGCUUUGACCCCCUGCCUGUGGAGGAGAGCCCCUGCCUCCCCCGGACACUGGCUAGUCUGGCUCUCAACCUGUCCGGGGAAGGGUUGAAGACUUGGACCCAAGGCUGUCUGUCUGGAGGCGGGACUGCAGCCGAGCACCCUGGCAAGGACUGUGCUAGCCUCGAGAAGAGAGCAAGGUCAAGGUCGGUGCCCCUGGCCUUCGAGGAGACCGCCUCCCUGGACCUCACGCUGAGCUCAGAAGCGGCACCUGCACGAGGCCUCAAACCCCAGGAGCUGGAGAGCCUAGAAAAGGACCAUGUGGAGCCCGAGCACGUGUGAGUGUCCUCCUGGGCGGGGUGACGCAGGGCUGGGCUGCGGGAGGAGCAUCGCUCA
rnacentral:lncRNA from 1 species